rnacentral:rRNA from 1 species
CCUAUGGGUGGCAGCAGUGGGGAAUAUUGGACAAUGGGGGGAACCCUGAUCCAGCCAUGCCGCGUGUGUGAAGAAGGCCCUCGGGUUGUAAAGCACUUUCAGUGAGGAAGAACGCCUGGUGGUUAAUACCCAUCAGGAAAGACAUCACUCACAGAAGAAGCACCGGCUAACUCCGUGCCAGCAGCCGCGGUAAUACGGAGGGUGCGAGCGUUAAUCGGAAUUACUGGGCGUAAAGCGCGCGUAGGUGGCUUGAUAAGCCGGUUGUGAAAGCCCCGGGCUCAACCUGGGAACGGCAUCCGGAACUGUCAAGCUAGAGUGCAGGAGAGGAAGGUAGAAUUCCCGGGGUAGCGGUGAAAUGCGUAGAGAUCGGGAGAAAUACCAGUGGCGAAGGCGGCCUUCUGGACUGACACUGACACUGAGGUGCGAAAGCGUGGGUAGCAAACAGGAUUAGAUACCCUAGUAGUC